rnacentral:rRNA from 2 species
UGGGAUAACUUCGGGAAACCGGAGCUAAUACCGGAUAAUCCUUUUCCUCUCAUGAGGAAAAGCUGAAAGACGGUUUACGCUGUCACUUACAGAUGGGCCCGCGGCGCAUUAGCUAGUUGGUGAGGUAACGGCUCACCAAGGCGACGAUGCGUAGCCGACCUGAGAGGGUGAUCGGCCACACUGGGACUGAGACACGGCCCAGACUCCUACGGGAGGCAGCAAUAGGGAAUCUUCCGCAAUGGACGAAAGUCUGACGGAGCAACGCCGCGUGAGUGAUGAAGGUUUUCGGAUCGUAAAACUCUGUUGUUAGGGAAGAACAAGUACAAGAGUAACUGCUUGUACCUUGACGGUACCUAACCAGAAAGCCACGGCUAACUACGUGCCAGCAGCCGCGGUAAUACGUAGGUGGCAAGCGUUGUCCGGAAUUAUUGGGCGUAAAGCGCGCGCAGGCGGUCCUUUAAGUCUGAUGUGAAAGCCCACGGCUCAACCGUGGAGGGUCAUUGGAAACUGGGGGACUUGAGUGCAGAAGAGAAGAGUGGAAUUCCACGUGUAGCGGUGAAAUGCGUAGAGAUGUGGAGGAACACCAGUGGCGAAGGCGACUCUUUGGUCUGUAACUGACGCUGAGGCGCGAAAGCGUGGGGAGCAAUCAGGAUUAGAUACCCUGGUAGUCCACGCCGUAAACGAUGAGUGCUAAGUGUUAGAGGGUUUCCGCCCUUUAGUGCUGCAGCAAACGCAUUAAGCACUCCGCCUGGGGAGUACGGCCGCAAGGCUGAAACUCAAAGGAAUUGACGGGGGCCUGCACUAGCGGUGGAGCAUGUGGUUUAAUUCGAGCUACGCGAAGAACUUACCGGGCUUGACAUCUCUGAACUCUAGAGAUAGACGUUCCCUUCGGGGACAAGUG